CGUUACAUAUGACAUUGAUCUAGUCCUGGAAUUGCGUAUCCCAGUCUCCAGUGUGCCAUCAAUUUCAUUGAACUAUUCAGGAACACUGUGAGAAGUGUCUUGCUCCCCUACACCAUCAAUCAGUCUUUAAAAGUGAUAGGUUUAAAUUUCACCACAGGUUGCUAUCCAAACUCCACUGGAGGACUGCAGUGUCACUGCGAAGAGCAGUUUGCUUGGUCAUGUGACCAGUGCAACAUCUACGGUGCGUGCAGCAAUGCCACCAGCCAAACCUGUGGGUGCAUAAAUGGACUUCCGUCUGAUGGAGCGCUCUGUGAACCAAUCACAAAUGUCACACCGUGUCCAACCCCCACUCCUAACGUUACAUAUGACAUUGAUCUAGUCCUGGAAUUGCGUAUCCCAGUCUCCAGUGUGCCAUCAUAUUUCAUUGAACUAUUCAGGAACACUGUGAGAAGUGUCUUGCUCCCUACACCAUCAAUCAGUCUUUAAAAGUGAUAGGUUUAAAUUUCACCACAGGUUGCUAUCCAAACUCCACUGGAGGACUGCAGUGUCACUGCGAAGAGCAGUUUGCUUGGUCAUGUGACAAGUGCAACAUCUACGGUGCGUGCAGCAAUGCCACCAGCCAAACCUGUGGGUGCAUAAAUGGACUUCCGUCUGAUGGAGCGCUCUGUGAACCAA